CUACGUGCCAGCAGCCGCGGUAAUACGGAAGGUUCGGGCGUUAUCCGGAUUUAUUGGGUUUAAAGGGAGCGUAGGCCGGAGAUUAAGUGUGUUGUGAAAUGUAGACGCUCAACGUCUGACUUGCAGCGCAUACUGGUUUCCUUGAGUACGCACAACGUUGGCGGAAUUCGUCGUGUAGCGGUGAAAUGCUUAGAUAUGACGAAGAACUCCGAUUGCGAAGGCAGCUGACGGGAGCGCAACUGACGCUGAAGCUCGAAGGUGCGGGUAUCGAACAGGAUUAGAUACCCUGGUAGUCCGCACAGUAAGCGAUGGAUGCCCGCUGUUGGUACCUGGUAUCAGCGGCUAAGCGAAAGCAUUAAGCAUCCCACCUGGGGAGUACGCCGGCAACGGUGAAACUCAAAGGAAUUGACGGGGGCCCGCACAAGCGGAGGAACAUGUGGUUUAAUUCGAUGAUACGCGAGGAACCUUACCCGGGCUUGAA
rnacentral:rRNA from 1 species